rnacentral:rRNA from 1 species
CGCGGCCUAUCAGCUUGUUGGUGGGGUAAUGGCCCACCAAGGCGACGACGGGUAGCCGGCCUGAGAGGGCGACCGGCCACACUGGGACUGAGACACGGCCCAGACUCCUACGGGAGGCAGCAGUGGGGAAUAUUGCGCAAUGGGCGGAAGCCUGACGCAGCGACGCCGCGUGAGGGAUGAAGGCCUUCGGGUCGUAAACCUCUUUCAGCAGGGAAGAAGCGCAAGUGACGGUACCUGCAGAAGAAGCACCGGCUAACUACGUGCCAGCAGCCGCGGUAAUACGUAGGGUGCAAGCGUUGUCCGGAAUUAUUGGGCGUAAAGAGCUCGUAGGCGGUCUGUCGCGUCUGCUGUGAAAACUCAGGGCUUAACCCUGAGCUUGCAGUGGGUACGGGCAGACUAGAGUGCGGUAGGGGAGACUGGAAUUCCUGGUGUAGCGGUGAAAUGCGCAGAUAUCAGGAGGAACACCGGUGGCGAAGGCGGGUCUCUGGGCCGUAACUGACGCUGAGGAGCGAAAGCAUGGGGAGCGAACAGGAUUAGAUACCCUGGUAGUCCAUGCCGUAAACGUUGGGCGCUAGGUGUGGGGCUCUUUCCAUGAGUUCCGUGCCGCAGCUAACGCAUUAAGCGCCCCGCC